rnacentral:rRNA from 1 species
AAGCGUCGUAGUUGAAUUUCGGGGUUCUACCCGUUGGUCGGGCUUUGUCUGUACUGGCGUGUAGAAUUUCUACCUUCUGGGGAACCAUUAUGUUAUUAAUUUAGCGUGGUGGGAAACCAGGACCUUUACCUUGAAAAAAUUAGAGUGUUCAAAGCAGGCUUAUGUCUGAAUACAUUAGCAUGGAAUAAUAGAAUAGGACGGUGGUCCUGUUUUGUUGGUUUCUGAAUCACCGUAAUGAUUAAUAGGGAUAGUUGGG